rnacentral:rRNA from 1 species
UUAAUUCGACGCAACGCGAAGAACCUUACCAGGUCUUGACAUCUUUUGCUACUUCCAGAGAUGGAAGGUUCCCCUUCGGGGGACAAAAUGACAGGUGGUGCAUGGUUGUCGUCAGCUCGUGUCGUGAGAUGUUGGGUUAAGUCCCGCAACGAGCGCAACCCUUAAUCUUAGUUGCCAGCAUUCAGUUGGGCACUCUAAGGUGACUGCCGGUGACAAACCGGAGGAAGGUGGGGAUGACGUCAAAUCAUCAUGCCCCUUAUGACCUGGGCUACACACGUGCUACAAUGGAUGGUACAGAGGGGAGCGAAGCCGUGAGGUGAAGCGAAUCUCAAAAAGCCAUUCUCAGUUCGGACUGCAGGCUGCAACUCGCCUGCA